rnacentral:lncRNA from 1 species
AUUUCCCACAGGGGUUCUCCUCCUAGCUCUACAUGGGCACCAAUCUGCCUGUAUCUCCUUGGGAACUCUCUAGGGCUCCCAUUUGCUUGUGACCCUUCACAUUCUGAUGGGCACUCUUGACUUCUUAUCUCCCCUGACUUUUUAUCUGGCCCACUUUAGUCUCCCUCAUUAAAAAAAAAAUUAAUCAAGAAAUGCCCCUCGCCAAAAAGCAGGCACCCCAAUUCCAAUGCCUGGUGGGACAAGGCAGGUCAUGAAAUGGGUGUCAGAGGCGGCCAAAAGAACAUGUCAGAUGUCCUGGAGUUAGAGUUACAAUCCUGCGGGGAAUGCUGGGAGCUGAAUGCUGCUCUUCUCACAGAAUAAUAAGUAAUCUUACCUGCUGAGCCUCUCUCCAGCCCCUCAUUUACCAAUUAACCGCAAGGAGACAAGCUAGAACCUUCAUCGCAGAGGAGAGGACAGACAUCCCUUAGUUAGGGGAUGGAGCUGUUUGUACCAGUCCCUCAUCACAAGCCCUGUCAACCUAGCUCGGCUGAGGAGCAGUCUACUCCCAGCUGGCCUGCACUCUGGAGGAGGGGUCAGUGUCUAGGAGACCAAGAUGGCCGAGGAAGCAUCUUACACUAAAAAGCAAAGAGAUCUGAGACUAAAUGGGCCAUGUGAUCUAGAUAUGUGAUGUUGGAUCCUACACUAAGAAAAGAGACAGAGCCUAGAUUCUGGGCAGCCUUGCAGAGCCCCUCGGGCCCAAUGGGGCCUUGUUUUGUGCUUUCCCCAACCCCACAGCCUGCCUUGUUUAUUUGUUCAGCAGGUUUAUUUCAGCCAUGGCACAGCCUGUUCCAACUCUGGAACAUUUAUGAGAUGAGCCAAUUUUUAAAAAAUCAUACAAAAUAAAUGAUUUCUCUUGGAGCUAAAGGGUGGGGCUGCCAGGGUGGGAGACAGGUUUCUGGCUGGCUCUGGGCAGUUUUUGGUUUAUCCUUCAAUGUAUUCUUUCCCUCUCUUGCCCAUGGGAACCAAAGGGGCUGCCAUGGGAUUUCCUGCCUCUAUUUCUCCAGACUAUGAUGUGGAAAGAUUGGGACAUUCAACCGUAAGAUUUCCGGUUCUCAUCUCCACCCUCGUUAGUUCCACUCCAGAGCCUGGCUCUAAACCACUGCAUUCAAGCCACAGCCCCAUCUAACUGGUCAGUCUUGGGAUGCAGAUGUCAGAAUGAGACCUGGGCAUCCCACUCUCUCUGUAGCAGCUUUCUCUUCCUCUCUGCUUAUGAAUUCUGGCUUUAUCCUUCAAAGUCCAGCUGUCACCUCUAAAUCCAACUGUCUUCCUUGUAGUUGGCCGGCUAUUAAAAAUAUUUUUUUUCAAAGUCCAACCAGGAUUAACAGGACAGUUAAAAAUGUCGAGUUUCUUUUUUUCUGACUAGGAUAUUAACCCAGCAUAGUGAUGUUAGGUAUCUCAGUUGAUCUGAAAUGAUUAUUUGUAGCUAUGAGGGUAUUUUAUCACCAAAAGACUAGAAAUUAAAGAUUGAUAUGUUCAAUUUGGGGACCAAAAAAAAAAAAAAUCCUUUAUUCAAACCUUAGUUUAAGCAGGUUUAACUGUAAUUCUAGCACUCCAGACUGAAGGAGGAAAACUGAGGGUUCAAGGCUAGCCUGAGCUACAUAGCAAGACUGUCUUUAAAAAAAAAAAAAAAAAACCAACUAAAAAUCACAGCCAUGCAUCUCAACCAACUGAACACAUUGUUAAGUAUUCAAAGGAUGGAUAAGAAGAGUCCUUGUGGUGAAGGGACACUGAGAGGUCCUACCUGGCCUUUUGACACAUGCCUGACUUGUUUCCCUAAAAGACCAGGUCCACAGGAGGCAACCUCAAGGAUAGAUGCUUGAGGUCAGUGACGCUCUCCAGCUCCCGAGAUUACUGCACCCUCUGCCAAUCCAGGCCAGUAAUCCCAUAACAAUCAAUUUAGGAACUGUCCCAGCCCUAGGCCCUGGAUGCCUCAAUGAUGGCAUGUCCUCACUCACGGAGUGCAGUGGCUGAUGAGAACAUGGGGCCAUGGCAGUGUGUCCUGGACUCCAGUGCCCACACCAGCACUCUCUGGGGCAGCUUGGGACAGCUUCCCCAGAAGCCUGGCCAGCUGUGGGAGGUACUGUUCUUCUUUUCCAAGAUUAGCUCAGACUUCAAACACCAACCCUGGGCCUGCUCCCUGCCAAUGAAAACAGUAUGUCAGGAGCCUCUUUAUCUGGAGGACAGCUCCCUCGGCUCCGCCCUUCCUCAUAUGAGGUCACUGAAUUGGUAUGACAGAGCAGUCAGUGACAUGCGCUAGGACUUGUUCCCAGAAUGAUUGCAGGGAUUCUCCAGGCCUUCUCUCCUCCCCACUUCAGAAUGUGUGGGCAGUAAACUCAACUGUACUUAGUAAUUGGGUUCCUCGGCAAAGAGAAGGUAGGGCCUGGAUAGACAGACACUAGCACAACGAAUUCCUUCGAAGCCUCAACACACUUUCGCACCAUUCUAAUGUGACUUAAGGCGGGGAGGAAUUCCAUACCCCACUCUACAGAGGCGGAGAAGGUGAACAGUUCAGCGUUCCGUUGCUUAGGCAGACUCAGGCUUGCAAUUAUUUUGUCAAUAGUUUUGUUACAUCUUCCUGCUUUACCAGAGUUUCUUAAAACUUGACUUUGGGAACCUUAAACUUCCGACUCUUUGCCUUGCUGUCUACCAACAACAGUUUUGAGCCACGGUCUCACAUAUACUAGGCUGGCCACAGACUCCCUAUUAACCAAGAAUCCUCCUGUAUCUAUGUCCUGGGUACUGAGAUUAGGUGUGUGCUACAAUGUUCCCAGGGCUUUGUGUGCAUCUGGCUGGCACGUCACCACCUGAGCAAGCUAUAGUUUCCAGCCCUGCUCUUAACUGGACCCACAUUGAAAAUUAACUUUGGGAGCAGGGGAUGGGAAUGGCUCAGCAUGGAAGAAGGCUUGCUCGAUAAGCAUGAGGACCCAGGUUUGAACCCCUAGAUGGACACAGCUCCAUGUGCCUGUAUUUCCAGCAUUGGGAGGGGCGGGGAAUUGGGGCAGGAACGAACAGAUCUAGAGAGCAAAAUGGCCAGUCAGCUUGCCCAAAACAGGGUUUCUGGUUUAGCGAGGCAAACUAAGUGUGUCUUCAAAAGUCACUAGUUUCCAAUCUGUUUCCUUCAACAGCAAUGACAGCCAUCCCCUUUUUGCCACUCAAGAACGACAGAGGGCAGAUCUGGGGAAGGAGAGGUGUGAGAACCCUCUGUAAACCAUAAAGUUGUAAGAGCACUAUGGGAUGGCCCAAAUCUCCCACUGAGUGUUCUCGCUGUAACUGGAGAAUGACUCUCAAGGAGAAAACAAAGGCAGAAACAAUGGGUUGGAAAGAGAUUUGGGGAGCAGCCUCUGGUUGGAGAGAGAUUUGGGGCAUAGCUUUUGGACCUUGGCUAAGUCCCCGGACUAGCGUGCUGCUUCAGGUGUCAGGUUUGGAAAGACACUGCUGCGCUGAAACAACUUGCUUCCCUCAACUUCCUUCAGAAGACUGAUUCUCUUUGAUCCUUUUUUUCUGACUUGGAGCCUUUUCCGUCAGACUUUGCAAGUUAGCUGAAUAGUCGUGGUUCUCUACUGCCCUCGUGUGGUUGCUCCCUAACAUUGCUGCAUGGGCUUCGGAAGGGAUCUGAGGGACAAAAGCCAACCUGACCAAGGAAAGCAAAGCCGACCUUCCAAAUCAGCAUAGUCCAGGGCCAGCAGAAGACUUCUACCCCAAAUUAAAGUCAGCAUCUUGAAGCCGGUGCUCCUCCAUGGGAGGGGGCGAAGCUACUGUAGUGGGGGAUGCUGACAACAGAGAUGCCACAUGUGUGAAGACAGGGACAGAGGAAACUGGACGACAGGCUGGCUGUUCAACUUCUCUGUGAACUGAAGACUGCUUUAAAGGGACACUAUUUUUAAAAUGACACUUCGAAGAGAAUAAAAACAAUUUUACCAAUCACAAUUUUCUAAUACAUACACCUCUAGGUACAGUCACUCCUUGUUAACCAUGGCUACCCAGGGUCCCCUGCACAUGCCCAAAUCACACCAUGUUUGCUUAAUAGAGCUCUAAGAAAUCAGCCUACUUCAAAAGAAGAGGAUUUGGGGGGGGGGGGGUCUGUUAUUGAGAGAGGGUUUACUAUGUAGCCCUGGCUGGCUUUGAAGUUACCAGGCUGGCCUCAAAGUUGGAGAUUUAGAUUAUCAGGCAUACCUAAUCAAGUGGUAUAAAGGGCAUGAUAAAAGCACGCCGGGACUCAUGAUGACCAAAAAAGUACAGAGAGCCUAAGCGUAUUGCAGGAAUUUGAUCCUGGGGAACCUUCAGGCUUCAGAGCCAGGCACUCCGUGUAAGGGUGUAUCCGAUGGCAGCAGAGCCAGCGAUCAGACAGGGGAAACCUGGGAAGAGGCCUGGCAUGAGGGCAGUGUGGUUUAAAGCUUUACUUGAACAAUCUGAACCAGACGAGAGGGAUGAAGAAGCUGCCCUCAGGAAGGAGCCAUUUCCCUUCACAUGCCAAGCUGGCUAACUCUUCUCCCGAUGCCAAGUACUAUGGAGGAGAAAGCUGGCCUCCCAUGGAAUAGAGGUCUCAGAUCCACCAUGAAGCAUGGUGCGGCAAAUCCCUUAAUCCAAGGCAUGGCAAGGUCUGCUAGAGAACAGAGACAUUGUGAAAACUUAAAGAGACAAGUCUCAGGAUCAAAGAAUGGUUAGUCACAAAGGAAGACCAUUCUGGUUUGAUAGCGUGACCCACUCACCAAAGGUCAACGGGCCUUAUGUCAUUUCCCAGAAGCUCAGCAUCUGGUUGGAUCAAAUCCUGUAUGGGAUUCAGCCCCAACACGCCCCCCCUCUUCCUCCAGGAAGAUCCCUGCUUCUGACUGCCACAGAGCUGGCAGGCUUCCCUCUGGCUUCCAUUUUUUCAGGAAGCCAUCUACAGCUGCUGGUCCCUGUCACAUGCUAUGUGGUGGGUGGCGGCGGCAGCUUUUCAAUGGUAAAACAGAUUUCAGGUUACAGCUAAGGGCUUCAAAGUUAGUUCAGAAAUGUGUUGGAUUUCCAAAGACGGCUAACCCUUCCAGUUCCAGGGAUGUAGUAAGGGCUUAGACUUCAAGGGGCUAAGCUUCAUUCCAAUUCCUAUUUGUUUUGGAACAAUUCUAGGAAGAAUGCUUAUGGCAAGCAGUCAAAAACCACUGAUGGAAUGUGCUAGGUACUUUGUAUGGUAAGAAGUCUCUGAUCUCAAAGAGUUUUGGUCUCAAGAAGAGGACACAUACCUCGUGCUAAUACUUUGCUUUUUUUCCUUCCCAAAGCUUUGCUGAUGCCUGUCCACUGCACUGCCCUGUCAUUUCUGCUAUUAGAUACUACUGCCCUAAAGUCACACAAAGCUACUAUGCUCAAGUAAACAAAAUUUAGACAUCUGUGGUGGUGGUGGUGGGGGUGUGGAACUCUUAGCAGUCAAGAGCCCUUACUGCUCUUCUAGAGGACAGGAAUCUGUUCCCAGCGGCCAUAGCUCACAGCGUCCUCCAGCAACCAACCCCACGGGCUGCAACAUCCUCUCCUGGACGGCCGCUGUAGGCACCUGCACAUGCACCAUAAACUCACACAGAAGAGACAAACUGCACGCUUCUUAAAAAGGGAAUAUGUAUUUUAGGGACUGGCUGUAAGGGAAGGGAUUCUCAGCAAGGGCAGCCCCCAAAAGAAUACUAUGUAGGAAGUCCAUUUGCCUCUAAGCAACUCCAGUCUGACCAGAGAAGUCAACCCAGCUGGAACAUGGAGAUUCCUAAAAAACCAGAUACAGUAACCCAGACCCUGCCAUCCGGGGGUCAAGACUGAAUACACUGGGAAAAUCACUUCACUCCUUGGAUGGAGGUGGGAGGGGGUGGGGAAAGGUGUGACCGUGGGAGGGAAGCUCCCCCCCCAAAAAAGGAUGGAGGGGGGGGAAUACAGGACAUAAAUAACACCCUAGCAACUAUGUACAAAUUAUGAUUUUCUCUUUUUUUGUAUUUAGAGUCAUCAAAUUUAGCAAUUUUCUUUUUUAUUAGAUAUUUUCUUCAUUUACAUUUCAAAUGCUAUCCCCAAAGCCCCCUAUAGCUCCCCCACCCACUCCCCCACCCACCCACUCCCACUUCCUGGCCCUGGCAUUCCCCUGUACUGGGGCAUAUAAUCUUUGCAAGACCAAGGGCCUCUCCUUCCACCGAUGGCCGACUAGGCCAUCCUCUGCUAUAUAUGCAACUAGAGAGACAGCUGGUGGGGGGGGGUACUGGUUAGUACCAGAGCUACAAUUUUCUUCAAUUAAGGAAAGUGUGUUUUCAUCUCACAUAGACUCCUUUUUUUUUUCUUUCAAAUUAUGGUUUUCAAGGCAUCUUCAUGUACAUCUCAUGGUCUCUCAGAAUACCUCAGCAAGAGAGACAUACAUUUUUAUAUUGUUUCCAGUUUAGGGGAAUCCUACUGUGUACCGACACUUACUUACUCUCAGGACCCUUCAGAAGCAGAAGAUAAUGACUGGAGUUGUCAUUACGACUCUGCAAAGUCAGAGGGACCCUGGCGAGCCCUCCAUCA